GGAAUCAGAACAGCAGACCUUGCACGUGAGCCCAAUGCAGAGUUUUGCCAAGGGGGGAGGCAGGAAGAAGUUUCAGUUUCAGCCUUGCGGGUGGGCGUCUUUCUGUACCCAAAGACGUGCUUUGUGCCCUCGAUGCUGAGGGCAGCCACCCAGGGCUGGGGAACGAACGGCUGCACGGCCCCUGAACCCUGACCAGCAGGGAAACUGGGAGAACAGAAUGCCGUCACUGCUGAUCUGUACCAGUUUGACUCUGCUUUAAGACUCACUGCAAGCUUUCAGAAUAAGGGUCCCCUCAGAAGAAGACAGACAAGGAGCAGGGUUGAAAAGGAACAGGGUUGGUUUUAAUUGGUGGUUGUUGCUGUUGGUUGUAAAAUAGACAAUCAGUCUAUGGUGUUACACUGUCAAUGAUGUCAGACAGUUCCAGAAGGAGCUCGUCCACAUCCUUCUCAGCGUCCACCUCAAUUUCUCCUUCCAGUUCUCCUGUGAUCUCCAUCAUGAACUGCUCGAGAUCGUCCUCUUCAGAGACGAGUGCUUCCCCCGCCUCUGCGCAGCUCAGCUGCUGUGUCUCAGCUGCGUCUUGUGAGGAAUAGGAUGGUGCACUUGAGACCUCCGACUGUGCCACGGAGUCCGCCUGGCUUCCUGGAAGCAGUUCCAGGCUUGGGAGGACAAGGAAGAGAACAAUCAGUACGUGACAUCUCUAACUGGAGAAGCGCUUUCAGCAAGAAGUCGUCCUCUGCGAAAACCUGUUUACUGACUGAGCUACUUUUCCCCACGACUUACUCAGCAGAGAUUUUGAGUAAGCAAUUGAAAUCAUUUCAGAGGACCUGUUCCUUUGUUGGAUUAUGCCACGACACAUCUCAAACACCCCCUUCUCCCCCUGAUGUGAAAGAACUUAUGUCUAAUGGAAAAAGGGCACUGAUGAUGAACGAGUUGUGGUCAUCACCUGCUUGGAGGUGUUUCGACUGCAGGAAUGGUCACCAGGCUGUCCCCGGGCAGGGCUGGAACGAUGGCCUAGGAAGAAACAAGACAUUGUGUAUGAAGCACGGGACAAAGAUUCCUAGGUAACUUCUUUUCCCAGAGAAGCUGCGGAUGCCCCGUCCCUGGAGGCAUCCAAGGCCAGGCUGGAUGGGUUUCCAGGCACUUGGAUCUCGUGGCUGGCAACCCUGCUCACAGCAGGACAGGUGGAACACGAGAUGAUCUCUGAGGACUCCUCCUCCCUUCCCUCAGCCUGAGCUGAGCCUGAACCCAAAUACGGAACCACGCUGCUCCCGAAGGAAGCAUUCUCUUGAAGGUUACAAGCGACCUUGGGUGUUUUUCACAGCGCAGCAUCAAUGGACAAAAUCCUUCCCACCACAGAGCCAUCUCCGAAUCCUAGAAUCGCAGACUAUUACAGAGUCAUCACUGCUCUACAUCUGAUCAAAACAGGAAGUUUGCACAAGUAUCCUGUGAGACAUCUGCUGCCUUCAAAGGAAACAGGAGACCUGCAGAACAUUUGACACUCCUACGUUUCUUCAAGAGCAAUCCGGGCCAUGGGAGGAAGUUGGGAUGUCAACUGCAGGGAACAGUCCCAGGAAAGAACAAUCAGAACAGCUAAGCAGAAAGACAGUGCAUCAAGCCCAGAUGCCUGUUGAGUAUCUGUACCUCUCUUUGGUGCCUUCCCAGGCUUCUUGCCCAGACUUCCUGCAAGGCCGCUCUUCGGAGGAAGGCCACUGGCGUCAGCUUCUGGCAGAGAGAAAACAAGAAGUAAGUGAAGAGCAUCUCUUUGGAGGAAGGUUUCAACACAGUCAGCCACAAGCUUUAAGUUUUGGAAGUCUGUCCCUCAAGCAGCUCCCAUUCACCAUCAACUGCCAUUCUGAACCCACCUGCACAAAGUUAAUUUCAUUUCCGCUGCAAAUUGCUGCAGUCACCAAGGCACAGCCAGCUAUCCAGCUAGUGCCUUGGUAGCCUUGUUCCUCUGGUUUUCCAUCUUAGCCCGUAUCUCCCCCCGCCCCCCUCCACCCCCCCCCCCCCCCCCCCCCAAAAAAAAAACAACCACCAUUCAGACGGCCAAAACACAAACUAAUAUUUCUCUUAGCGUGGCUCUUCCCUGCACUCCCCACCAGUGAAUGGUUACUUGACAUCCCGCACCCGCUCAGAAGUAAUAUUCCAGAUUAAAUCUUUCACGCUUCGUGCCAUCAGAAACUCACUUUGGCUUGGUGGUACGGCCAGUCCGUUCCCACCGCGUUCCUUCAAGUGGAGAAAGGCGCAGUGGGCUUUCUGACAGCCUCCUGGUUGAUCCUCCCAAUAGCACGGAAUCUCACUGCGCUUCUUCUGAAGAGAGAAAGAAAGGAAGGGUCACGGAAACAGGCGCACGAGGUUUGCAAAGAGACGCAGCGUUCCGGGUCGUGCCAGAGAUGGGACCGUCACAGUGCUGAAACAUCACCUAUCACUAAAGGAAACACCUGGGAGCGCAUUCACAACACCUGCGUGAGCUGUAACCGCUCGGCAUAUUUCGCUUUCUCAUCCUUCAGGUAGAGGAGACAGGCGCUCUCAGUUCAGGGGGUUAAACCAAUACACCUGCUGCAAAAUGCUCCCGUUAUUCGGGAGAAACGGUGCCUUCAGGUGCCGUGGCGAAGUCCACCAGAAAUGAUCGGGCAGAGCCUUAGCUCUUGACCAUCAUCUCUCGCCCCACCCUUUGCUACUCCAAGCAGCCAGAGCACAGUUGUCUGAAGAAAUCCAGGGCAGACAAGGCCUGGUAGACCGCAAGCAAGCCCCGCUGGCAGGAGGGCAGUGCCCGCUCUUUCCUCCCACCCUGCUCCAGCAGGUGUAGGAGUCUGAGCAAUGCGGUCUUUUUGCACCUGGGGAAAAAAUGCCUUUGGCACCUAGCGCAAACAGCUCUCGCUAACAUAGAGCUGAGGCAUGGAGUUCUCUUCCCCCUGCCUCCUCCCGGUCCCCUCUAGAAACAGAAACCCCUAAGAUUUUCACAGCAAACGUAUCUAGCCUGCACAAGUGCAUUCCGCCCACCUACAGCAAUGAAAAGCGGUUUUGUGGCUAAGUUGGAGAGCACGUCUUUAGGCAAACACUCACAUCAAUUCUCAUGUGCCUGAACUUGCAGUUGCCACUGGAACAGCGACCCUCCACCCACAGCCGGCACACUUGUUCGCUCCCCAGAGCCGCUUCACAGUGGCGGAAGGGACAGCUGUCUCCCUGCACGCAAAAGGAAACCACACGGGAAAAUAAGAGUACGGCCUGAAACGUGCCCAUGCUAUCAGCCCAGCUUGUUAGCAGCGAGCGCAGAAUCCCACCGGUUGUGAAGGUAACGCAUCAGUGGUAGGUCUCCCCCUGCUCCACCCCUUUCUCUUACGAAUGAGGACAAGGAAGAAAAUGCAGGCAAAGGAAACCCAACCAUACCUUCGUGCAGGUGGAGUAGAAAUAGAAGUAGCAGUCGACUCCUCGCUGAGACAUGAUGAAAUUCUCAGAGCAAGCUCGGCUUCAGAGGAGUUCCCUGCUCUUGGAAAGAGCCGGACGCCCUCCUUCUUGGACUGCUUGGAUCCGCAAAAUCGCCUUUCCGACCGGGACCCUGAGGAAAGGGUCAAGAACCGGAAAAGAAUGAGGAAUAAGCAUUUCCCCAGCUUUCCUUUUAUGCAAUUUAGACUCUCGAGGAGGGCAGCGUCUCGGAAGCAGCUGGUUGAAGAACUGUGCCAACUCUAGAUCCAACUUGCGUCUAACUGCCACGACCUCUCCCAGCAAGUACUGUCCUCCAUCUCACCUACAGUUACAUAACUUGCAGCACACAUUUUGCGUUCCUGUCAUGAGAAUGAAUCCAUCUUCUCCCCUUGCUGCAGCUGCAAGGGAUGCACUGGUACGACUCACGUGUUUGACGAACCUACGGUUGUGGCUUACCCAGGCACAGCUGCAGGCCUUCUCCCUUCCAGCUAACACACCAGCCCGAUGGCUGAGCAACACCGUCAGCGAGAGCGGGCAGCACCCGUCAGCCACCACCACUCUCACUGCCAGCCGGGACGAGGGCUGACGCAGCGUGUCCGCACUCCUGCGCAGCGCUCACGGCUGUGGCACUCACUGGUGGCAGCCACGGCCCGAAAGACAGUGCUUGUGAGGUCACUGUGCUUGUGAUGUCACCGGACAGUCCGUGCCCCAGCUGAGCACUUGGCUCUCCACCGUGACUCGAGUGGGGUUUUGUUAAAAAUAUGCUGGAUACGGCACAGCCAGCCAUCGGUGGGUCAAUAAAGCACAAGUUGCACUCUG